UACGUAGGGGGCUAGCGUUGUCCGGAAUCAUUGGGCGUAAAGCGCGUGUAGGCGGUUCGGUAAGUCCGCUGUGAAAGUCGGGGGCUCAACCCUCGAAUGCCGGUGGAUACUGUCGGGCUAGAGUGCGGGAGAGGCGAGUGGAAUUCCUGGUGUAGCGGUGAAAUGCGCAGAUAUCAGGAGGAACACCGAUGGCGAAGGCAGCUCGCUGGGACGGUACUGACGCUGAGGCGCGAAAGCGUGGGGAGCGAACAGG
rnacentral:rRNA from 1 species